GCGCCCAUGGUGAAAUGGAUAUCACGGCAGCCUCCGGAGCUGCAAGCGCAGGUUCGAUUCCUGCUGGGCGCA
rnacentral:tRNA from 1 species